UGCUUUUGUUGUGAAAUGCGGGAAAGUCAACUUUUGGAGUUGGAGGAGUCAGUCUCAUUCUGCGUGUGGUCGGAGGCAAAGGAGGCUGCAUAGACGGUGGAGCAGAUUUAGCACCGGGACGGAGCAGUGGGACUGCGGGGCAGACAACACGGAGGAGCGGGACGGAGGAGCAAACACCGAUAGACGGCGGAGGAAAUACACAGAGCAACGGGACGUAGAAGCAGGACGUGGAGGAGCCAGCCCAAACACUGGCAAACAGUGCACCAACGCAGAGCUGUGGGUCCAAACACUUUAACUCUGGACCAGACUGCUUAGAGGAUACUGACCCAGAGGAGGAGCAGACAAGAGGUCUCUCUGUGGGUAUCCUCACUGUGCUGGAGGAUGACUGUACUUCACCUGCUGUAAAUGUGAUGAACCUUACUGUGGUUGUUGAAGAAACAAUCAUCCUUCAGGAUCUCCCAGAUCUGCCAACGGCUUUUGGCUUUGUCUUUGGGUUGAUCAAUGUCUUAAACCUUCAAUACCCAAAAGAUCUCAGGUACACCUUUGAAAUGGUUCAGAAAAUCUUAAUGGGACUUGGGACAGAUCUCUCGGCAAGGGUAAGAUCCCUCAAAAACAGGCUUUUUCUAUGAAUCCUAUAUGGUAGCUGUUGGGUGUACCGUACCUUUUUUUUCUUUAAUGUCUUGCAGUUUUUCAGUUUUGGGCUUACGUAAAUGUAGAGUUCAAGUCAUUGUUUCCACUGUUGCCACUUUAAUAAAAAGACAGUUUUAUACAGAAAAAAUAUUAUAUAAAUUUUUAUUUGUAAUGCUAUGCUAGAUAUUUUUAUGUUUUACUGGUGUUUCUCUUAAAAUGUGUGAUACAAGGUCAGCAUUUUGUUUGUUCCUUUUCAGCCAGUUAUUCUGGAGUUGGGCUACUCAACCAGGUACACACCAGGGUCUUGUAAUUGUACAUUAAAGUGCAUAAGUUUAAAAUAAUUUAGUCUUACAGCUGGUCUCACAGCUAGAUGUGUUGGGCUUCCUACAGUUGUAGUUCAGCUUUUUCAGCUGUUCUGUAUCAAACAGAUCUUAAUGUUUUAAUGCCAAUAGUGUCUGUCAAGAUAAGUUUUAUGCUCCAUAGCUUAACUUGUGUAGUGUUUUACUAAGCAUUCUCAGUUUUUGGGAAGUGUUACACAUGGUGUUUAACAUGAUGUGACAAAAGUUCAAAAUAAAAACACUUGUCAUCGGCAUCUGAAUUUGCUUUUGUUUAGAAUUUGCUGUUUAAACCCAUCUGUUACAUUAUUAAGUGUGGUCUGUUAUCAAAAAUGACAUUUUCCUAUACUGUUUAAUAACAGAGUUGGUGUAUGCAAUAUAUACAUGAGGUGGUAAUUCAACUUUUCGCUGUGAAAUGUGUUAAAAGUUGCAGCAAGUUGUAGUGGAGUAAGCUAAAGUCACAAUUAAAAGUUGUUGAAAUGUAAAAUGUUAUGCCUCAAUAACUUGAGUUUGGAAAAGUCAAAAAUAAUAACUGGUGAAAUGUUAAAUUUUAAGUAAGUGGAACUUUUAAAAUUGAGGUAUAAAUUAGGAUUUACAGUCAGUACUAUUUAAAAUUUACGUUUUUACAACUUAAAAUUGGGUAACAAAAACUUGGGAUUCAAAGUUACUACAACAUACACUUGAGUUAGAUAAACUCAGGUUUCAUACUUAUUAC